rnacentral:ncRNA from 1 species
CACCGCCCGUCGCUUCAACCGAUUGGAUGGUUAGGUGAAUUUUGUGGAUCGAAAGGCUUCGGCCUAUUGUGAAACAACGUGAGCCUAACUGUUUAGAGGAUGAAGAAGUCGUAACACGGUAUCCGUAGGUGAACCUGCGGAUG